rnacentral:rRNA from 1 species
AGUGAACGCUGGCGGUAGGCCUAACACAUGCAAGUCGAACGGCAGCACAGUAAGAGCUUGCUCUCACGGGCGGCGAGUGGCGGACGGGUGCGGAAUACACCGGAAUCCACCCUUUCGGGGGGGUUAACGUAGGGAAACUUACGCUACUACCGCAUACGACCUUCGGGUGAAAGCAGGGGUUCUUUGGCCCUUGCGCGAUUGAAUGAGCCGAUGUCGGGUUAGCUAGUUGGCGGGGUAAAGGCACACCAAGGCGCGGAGCCGUAGCGGCUCUGAGGGGACGAUCAGCCACCCUGGAACUGAGACACGGUCCAGACUCCUACGGGAGGCAGCGGUGGGGAAUAUUGGGCGAUGGGGGCGAGCCUGAUCCAGCCAUACCGCGUGGGUGAAGAAGGCCUUCGGGUUGUAAAGCCCUGUUGUUGGGAGAGAAGAGCAGCAGGUUAAUACCCCGCUGUUCUGACGGUACCCAAAGAAUAAGCACCGGCUAACUUCGUG